CAGUAGCCGCGGGAAUACGUAGGGUGCAAGCGUUAAUCGGAAUUACUGGGCGUAAAGCGUGCGCAGGCGGUUAUAUAAGACAUAUGUGAAAUCCCCGGGCUCAACCUGGGAACUGCAUUUGUGACUGUAUAGCUAGAGUACGGCAGAGGGGGAUGGAAUUCCGCGUGUAGCAGUGAAAUGCGUAGAUAUGCGGAGGAACACCGAUGGCGAAGGCAAUCCCCUGGGCCUGUACUGACGCUCAUGCACGAAAGCGUGGGGAGCAAACAGGAUUAGAUACCCCAGUAGUCCCUGUCUCUUAUAC
rnacentral:rRNA from 1 species